AAGGACCACACCCUAGUGGUCAUCAGACCCUCUACAACAAUGCAUGCAUAAGUUCAGAGCAUAAGUAAAGUGGUGCAAACCAGGGGCGGAUCCACAGUGGGGUCAUUGGGGUCACACGACCCCUUGGAAGCCAUGGAAAUAACCUUGGAGCUGCUGGUGCGACCUCUUGGAGCUGCCGGUGCGACCUCUUGGAGCUGCACACCACGUGAUCGACGAAAUGUCUGAAAGAAGAGGAAAGAGUUCGCCUGCCUUCACCGCGCUCUCCGUGCUCUUCGGAUAAAGAAAGUGAAGCUGAUUUGGGAGUGAGGCCUCGGCAGAAGGAUGACCUUCAUGCGACAAGGAAAUCACACAGUUCAUGCAAUUCCGAAAAAUAUCAGGUAGAGAUGUGCACGCCGAAGGUCUGUAAUGGUAAUUGCGCAUCGUCAUUUCAUCCGCCCCUGUGCAGCAGUGCGCAAUGGAAGAGAAAUCCUUUUUCAGGUGUCUUCUUCUUCAGGGGUCUGACUUCUCCAAAAUAAUUUCAUGGCAAGCAGCUAGCUUUCAGCAUAGAACCUGCUAUAAACACGUUUGUAUAAGAUUACAUUGAUGCUGAUUAGUUGUGGUAUUUUUGGUAUCAUACUGUUCGUACUUGCAAAGUUUGCAUUUUUUUUCAAUUUGAGAUCUAAGAUUACAUUGAUGCUGAUUAGUUGUGGUAUUUUUGGUUGUCAGGGAAAGUGAAGGCACCUUUCAGUAUGGUAACUAUCGGCGAGAGGCUGAUCACGCUAUCUUACCAAGACCCGAUGAAAUGACGAUAUGCAUGCCGUUUCUGUU